rnacentral:lncRNA from 1 species
GUAAAGUGUGGAGCUGCAGGAGGAUCUUAGCACUGCGUGAGACGAAGGGGAUAGAGGUCGUUUUUCGUUGGCUUUUGAAGCUCCGGCGGAGAUGCCGGCGACGGCGGCUACGAAGAGCAAGGCAACGGCGGCGGAUAGCAAAACAAAUUUCUUGUUUUUCUUGAAAUUAUCUUUAGAGAAGAUUUCUUUCAUUGAUGGUGCCAUUGUUUUGUGCCACUGGUGUGAGUGAUGAAUGUACUCGUGAGAGUUGGUGUUUAUAUAAACUAUAUUUUGAUUAAAUUUAAAAUUCAAACAAAGAUAUUAUUAAAAAAAAAAAAAAAAUUCU